GACAGCAGUCGCCACGGUAAUACGUAGGGUGCAAGCGUUAAUCGGAAUUACUGGGCGUAAAACGUGCGCAGGCGGUUUGUUAAGACAGAUGUGAAAUCCCCGGGCUCAACCUGGGAAUGGCAAUGGAUACUGGCAAGCUAGAGUGUGUCAGAGGAUGGUGGAAUUCCCGGUGUAGCGGUGAAAUGCGUAGAGAUCGGGAGGAACAUCAGUGGCGAAGGCGGCCAUCUGGGACAACACUGACGCUGAGGCACGAAAGCGUGGGGAGCAAACAGGAUUAGAUACCCCUGUAGUCCCUGUCUCUUAUAC
rnacentral:rRNA from 1 species